rnacentral:ncRNA from 14 species
AUAGCUCAAUUGGGAGAGCUUAAGACUGAAGAUCUUAAGGUCGCCGGUUCGAUUCCGGCUGUCGGC